CCUACGGGUGGCAGCAGUGGGGAAUAUUGCACAAUGGGCGCAAGCCUGAUGCAGCCAUGCCGCGUGUGUGAAGAAGGCCUUCGGGUUGUAAAGCACUUUCAGCGGGGAGGAAGGCGGUGAGGUUAAUAACCUCAUCGAUUGACGUUACCCGCAGAAGAAGCACCGGCUAACUCCGUGCCAGCAGCCGCGGUAACACGGAGGGUGCCAGCGUUAAUCGGAAUUACUGGGCGUAAAGCGCACGCAGGCGGUCUGUCAAGUCGGAUGUGAAAUCCCCGGGCUCAACCUGGGAACUGCAUUCGAAACUGGCAGGCUAGAGUCUUGUAGAGGGGGGUAGAAUUCCAGGUGUAGCGGUGAAAUGCGUAGAGAUCUGGAGGAAUACCGGUGGCGAAGGCGGCCCCCUGGACAAAGACUGACGCUCAGGUGCGAAAGCGUGGGGAGCAAACAGGAUUAGAUACCCUGGUAGUC
rnacentral:rRNA from 1 species